rnacentral:rRNA from 1 species
AUUGAACGCUGGCGGCAUGCUUUACACAUGCAAGUCGAACGGUAACAGGCCGCAAGGUGCUGACGAGUGGCGAACGGGUGAGUAAUGCAUCGGAACGUGCCCAGUCGUGGGGGAUAACGCAGCGAAAGCUGCGCUAAUACCGCAUACGAUCUAUGGAUGAAAGCGGGGGACCGUAAGGCCUCGCGCGAUUGGAGCGGCCGAUGUCAGAUUAGGUAGUUGGUGGGGUAAAGGCUCACCAAGCCAACGAUCUGUAGCUGGUCUGAGAGGACGACCAGCCACACGUGGACUGAGACACGGCCCAGACUCCUACGGGAGGCAGCAGUGGGGAAUUUUGGACAAUGGGCGCAGGCCUGAUCCAGCAAUGCCGCGUGCAGGAAGAAGGCCUUCGGGUUGUAAACUGCUUUUGUACGGAACGAAACGGUCCUGGUUAAUACCUGGGGCUAAUGACGGUACCGUAAGAAUAAGCACCGGCUAACUACGUGCCAGCCGCCGCCGUAAUAC